AGUGGGAGCACGCUUAGGCGUGUGACUGCGUACCUUUUGUAUAAUGGGUCAGCGACUUAUAUUCUGUAGCAAGGUUAACCGAAUAGGGGAGCCGAAGGGAAACCGAGUCUUAACUGGGCGUUAAGUUGCAGGGUAUAGACCCGAAACCCGGUGAUCUAGCCAUGGGCAGGUUGAAGGUUGGGUAACACUAACUGGAGGACCGAACCGACUAAUGUUGAAAAAUUAGCGGAUGACUUGUGGCUGGGGGUGAAAGGCCAAUCAAACCGGGAGAUAGCUGGUUCUCCCCGAAAGCUAUUUAGGUAGCGCCUCGUGAAUUCAUCUCCGGGGGUAGAGCACUGUUUCGGCAAGGGGGUCAUCCCGACUUACCAACCCGAUGCAAACUGCGAAUACCGGAGAAUGUUAUCACGGGAGACACACGGCGGGUGCUAACGUCCGUCGUGAAGAGGGAAACAACCCAGACCGCCAGCUAAGGUCCCAAAGUCAUGGUUAAGUGGGAAACGAUGUGGGAAGGCCCAGACAGCCAGGAUGUUGGCUUAGAAGCAGCCAUCAUUUAAAGAAAGCGUAAUAGCUCACUGGUCGAGUCGGCCUGCGCGGAAGAUGUAACGGGGCUAAACCAUGCACCGAAGCUGCGGCAGCGACGCUGAUGCGUUGUUGGGUAGGGGAGCGUUCUGUAAGCCUGUGAAGGUGUGCUGUGAGGCAUGCUGGAGGUAUCAGAAGUGCGAAUGCUGACAUAAGUAACGAUAAAGCGGGUGAAAAGCCCGCUCGCCGGAAGACCAAGGGUUCCUGUCCAACGUUAAUCGGGGCAGGGUGAGUCGACCCCUAAGGCGAGGCCGAAAGGCGUAGUCGAUGGGAAACAGGUUAAUAUUCCUGUACUUGGUGUUACUGCGAAGGGGGGACGGAGAAGGCUAUGUUGGCCGGGCGACGGUUGUCCCGGUUUAAGCGUGUAGGCUGGUUUUCCAGGCAAAUCCGGAAAAUCAAGGCUGAGGCGUGAUGACGAGGCACUACGGUGCUGAAGCAACAAAUGCCCUGCUUCCAGGAAAAGCCUCUAAGCAUCAGGUAACAUCAAAUCGUACCCCAAACCGACACAGGUGGUCAGGUAGAGAAUACCAAGGCGCUUGAGAGAACUCGGGUGAAGGAACUAGGCAAAAUGGUGCCGUAACUUCGGGAGAAGGCACGCUGAUAUGUAGGUGAAGCGACUUGCUCGUGGAGCUGAAAUCAGUCGAAGAUACCAGCUGGCUGCAACUGUUUAUUAAAAACACAGCACUGUGCAAACACGAAAGUGGACGUAUACGGUGUGACGCCUGCCCGGUGCCGGAAGGUUAAUUGAUGGGGUCAGCGCAAGCGAAGCUCUUGAUCGAAGCCCCGGUAAACGGCGGCCGUAACUAUAACGGUCCUAAGGUAGCGAAAUUCCUUGUCGGGUAAGUUCCGACCUGCACGAAUGGCGUAAUGAUGGCCAGGCUGUCUCCACCCGAGACUCAGUGAAAUUGAACUCGCUGUGAAGAUGCAGUGUACCCGCGGCAAGACGGAAAGACCCCGUGAACCUUUACUAUAGCUUGACACUGAACAUUGAGCCUUGAUGUGUAGGAUAGGUGGGAGGCUUUGAAGUGUGG
rnacentral:rRNA from 1 species